GGAGAGGUGUCCGAGAGGCCGAAGGAGCACGAUUGGAAAUUGUGUGUAGGCUUAUCCCCUACCGUGGGUUCGAAUCCCACCCUCUCCGCCA
rnacentral:tRNA from 1 species